rnacentral:lncRNA from 1 species
AUCAUAUGAUUUCUUGAAGCGGACUAAGCUAAGAGAGGAUUACUGAUGCUUACAUGUAAUACUUUAGAAUUGAACUGCCAAUGCCCAUUUAGGAAAAUGAAUUUAAUGCCCAUUCCAAGGGUCUUUUCCCGGGAUAAUGUGCAACCAAGUGCUAUUACAAAAAGAAAGUUAGUAUUUGAUACAUAUAAGUCUCUCAGUAUAUUAACUAUGUUGUUCAUUUUACAUUUAUAUAAAUGGCCGGCAUUUUUAACCCUUAUAUUCCUGUUAGGAAAUAUAUGAUGCAGAGGAUCUCACCUAAAUAAUUAUGGAUUUAAGCUAAGCCAUAAAUAUAAUAAUGUUUGGCUCACAUCUGGUGGUAGGACUUCCUCAUAGAAGGAUAAGCAGAGAUAUGUAUUAUUUGCAUAUGUGUCUAUCAUUUGAACCCAUUUUGAGCUAUUUGGUUAAACAUAAGCAUUUGUAAUACAAUCAAAAGACAGGCACAAGAUAACUAUGAAUCUCAGACCAUGGAAAUAUUAAUCCACUAUCUAAUGUCCAACUAAUUGAAACAAUAUUAAGUGCACUACAAUCAAGUUUCAUAACACAAUUCUCUAUUUCUCACAUAAAAAAUGAAACAAUACAAAGAGCUGCCAAUGAUUUAUACUCUUUUAGGAAAAAUUACUAGCCCGUGCAGUCGCACAGGUUGUUGACUAGUCAUGCUUAAAGAUCAUGAAUCUUACCAUCUUACCUUCUCGUGCUUGAAGUGUUCUCAGUCAGGACAAGCAAGCCCAGUGACUCCCACUACGGCUCAUGGCGCUUCGACCUCCUUGCAACAAUGAUCACUCGAGGUAGUUGUCUAUGCUUGUGCAUUGUUGAUGCUUGCGUCUUGUCUUUGUGCUUCUCAACUUACAACUUGUGCAUUGUUGAUAGUAGAGCCCACAAGUGUUGAUGCUUAUAUUGUUCAUACUUCUUAGCUUCAAUUUGAACCUUAUAUGUUGAUGCUUGUUGACUCUUGUGCCUUAUCGAUCAUUUGAAAAUUAACUUUGAAAACUCAUGCGUUUGGUAAUGGACUUAUAGGUUUGCAUCGUGGAUGCCGUUGACGGUGGGCAUACAUGCUACGGUGGAGCACAUUGCAUGUUUGAGGUUCAUGCUUGGUGUGAACUUGGAACUCAUGCUUUUGUUUGUGAACCUUGUUGGAUAUGUACCUGUGUGGACUUUGGACUCAUGGUCAAUUUGUAUGGUUGUCAAGUUGUACUAAAUUGUUGUUGUGAACCUUCGUUGGUUAUAUAUUACUUGUUG